CCUGCGGAAGGAUCAUUACCGAGUUGAUUCGAGCUCCGGCUCGACUCUCCCACCCUAUGUGUACCUACCUCUGUUGCUUUGGCGGGCCGCGGUCCUCCGCACCGGCGCCCUUCGGGGGGCUGGCCAGCGCCCGCCAGAGGACCAUAAAACUCCAGUCAGUGAACUUCGCAGUCUGAAAAACAAGUUAAUAAACUAAAACUUUCAACAACGGAUCUCUUGGUUCUGGCAUCGAUGAAGAACGCAGCGAAAUGCGAUAAGUAAUGUGAAUUGCAGAAUUCAGUGAAUCAUCGAAUCUUUGAACGCACAUUGCGCCCCUUGGUAUUCCGAGGGGCAUGCCUGUUCGAGCGUCAUUUCAACCCUCAAGCUCUGCUUGGUAUUGGGCCCCGUCCUCCACGGACGCGCCUUAAAGACCUCGGCGGUGGCGUCUUGCCUCAAGCGUAGUAGAAAACACCUCGCUUUGGAGCGCACGGCGUCGCCCGCCGGACGAACCUUUGAAUUAUUUCUCAAGGUUGACCUCGGAUCAGGUAGGGAUACCCGCUGAACUUAAGCAUAUCAAUAAGCGGAGG
rnacentral:rRNA from 1 species